rnacentral:rRNA from 1 species
UACGUAGGUGACAAGCGUUGUCCGGAUUUACUGGGCGUAAAGAGCGCGCAGGCGGUCGAUCAAGUCGAGUGUGAAAGCCCCCGGCUCAACUGGGGAGGGUCAUCGAUACUGAUCGACUCGAAGGCAGGAGAGGGUAGUGGAAUUCCCGGUGUAGUGGUGAAAUGCGUAGAUAUCGGGAGGAACACCAGUGGCGAAGGCGACUACCUGGCCUGUUCUUGACGCUGAGGCGCGAAAGCUAGGGGAGCAAACGGG